AUUGAAUUGUGUAUUUUUACAGCUACAGCAUUGGGCCUAUCGUUGGAUCUGUAGUCAGUGGAGGAAUCGCCCUCUUCAUCAUUAUUCUGGCUAUUUGCAUAUGCCGCAGAAGACGCCGUCAGCCAGGAGUUAUCAUCCAUAGCCCAGGAGCGCCCCCUACAGUGAUUUGUCAGAAUUCCACAUCACAAUCUGCAAUGGUCAACACAGCUUGCAUGCCUCCAGGGAGUGUGUAUCCCCCCACAGCCGUACGGAGCCUACCCCUAUCCACCUGACAAGACUGUCCAGCCGCCCUCAUAUUACCAACAACCGCCCCCAAGCUACGACAACCUCCCUCCUCCAGCAUACCCCGCAAGUCCAUCAACAGGAACUGCCUAUUAUAAUGAUGGAGUUGAUAAUUUGGGUUUUAAAAGUUAAAACAGUAAACAUAGUGACUUUUGGAAUUUUGUAUGUCAUUGUAUCAUUUCUCGUGAACAAAACCAUCUAGAUCAGCGGUUCUCAACCUUUUAUGCUCGGCGACCCCUUUUUACAAUCCCCCACUCUGCGGCGACCCCACACCCCAGACACACAGAUACAGCACUAGAAGAGAAGACAAUAACAAUCCAUAGUUUCGAUGGUCUUAGACGACCCCUGGCAAAUCGCCAUUCGACCCACAAGGGGGUCGCGACCCAUAGGUUGAGAACCCCUGAUCUAGAUCCAGGCGUACAGAAAGUUUCGUCAUACAAUCAUGAUCCUAACAUAAAUUCGUAUUUUUUAAACGGCUCUAACUAUUUUCCUAAAAAUUCGAAAUCUUUGAGAAACGAAGUAUUAGCUAAUU
rnacentral:sRNA from 1 species